rnacentral:tRNA from 1 species
CCGGGGUUAGGUCAUCGGUAGACUGUCUGUUUUGGGAACAGAAGGCAGAAGGUUCAAUUCCUUCACCUCGGA